CACUCCUGCGGGAGGCAGCAGUGGGGAAUUUUGGACCAUGGGCGAAAGCCUGAUCCAGCAAUGCCGCGUGUGUGAAGAAGGCCUUCGGGUUGUAAAGCACUUUUGUCCGGAAAGAAAUCCUUGGCUCUAAUACAGUCGGGGGAUGACGGUACCGGAAGAAUAAGCACCGGCUAACUACGUGCCAGCAGCCGCGGUAAUACGUAGGGUGCGAGCGUUAAUCGGAAUUACUGGGCGUAAAGCGUGCGCAGGCGGUUUGCUAAGACCGAUGUGAAAUCCCCGGGCUCAACCUGGGAACUGCAUUGGUGACUGGCAGGCUAGAGUAUGGCAGAGGGGGGUAGAAUUCCACGUGUAGCAGUGAAAUGCGUAGAGAUGUGGAGGAAUACCGAUGGCGAAGGCAGCCCCCUGGGCCAAUACUGACGCUCAUGCACGAAAGCGUGGGGAGCAAACAGGAUUAGAAACCCCUGUAGUCC
rnacentral:rRNA from 1 species